UGUGUGUGUGUGUGUGUACACCUUCUUUAUCCAUUCAUCAGUCAGUGGGCAUAUGGGCUCUUUCCAUCAUUUGGCUAUUGUUGAUAGUGCUGCUGUAAACAUUGGGGUGCAUUUGAAAGGUGUAUGUGCUCCUUUGAGUCAGCAUUUCUGUAUCCUUGGCUAAAUACCUAGUAGUGCACUUGGUGGGUCAUAGGGCGCCCCUAUUUUUAAUUUUUUGAAGAACCCCCAUGCUGUUUUCCAGAGUGGCUGCCCCACUUUGCAUUCCCACCAGCAGUGCAAAAGGAUUCCCCUUCUGCCACAUCCUCGCCAACAUCUCUUGUUUCCUGAGUUGUUAAUAUUAAGCCAUUUAACAGGUGUGACAUGGUAGCUCAUUGUGGUUUUGAUAGGUAUUUUCUCUGAUGAUGUUGAGCAUUUUUUCCCGUGUCUCUUAGUCAUCUGGAUGUCUUCUUUGGAGAAGUGUCUGUUGAUGUCUUUUGCCCAUUUCUUCACUGGAUUAUUUGUUUUUUUUGGGUGUGGAGUUUGAUAAGUUCAUUACAGAUUUUGGAUACUAGCCUUGUAUCUGAUAAGCCAUUUGCAGAUAUCUUCUCCCAUUCCAUAGGCUGCCUUUUAUUUCUGUUGAUUGUUUCCUUGGCUGUGCAGAAGCUUUUUAUCUUGAUGAGGUCCCAAUAGUUCAUUUUUGCUUUUGUUUCCCUUACUUCUGGAGACAUGUCUAGUAAGAAGUUUCUGUGGACGAAUGAAAGAGAAGAGAUCACAACCAACACUGCAGAAAUAAAUACAAUAAUAAGAGAAUAUUAUAAGCAAUUAUAUGCCAACAAUUCGGGCAGUCUGGAAGAAACAAACAAAUUCCUAGAAACUUACAAACUGCCAAAACUGAAACAGGAGGAAGUAGAAAAUUUUAACAGACCCAUAAGCAGUAAAGAAUUGGAAUCAUUAAUCAAAACUCUCCCAACAAGCCAGAGUCUAGAGCUGGAUGGCUUCCCAAGGGAGUUCUACCAAACAUUCAAAGAAGAGUUAAUACCUAUUGUUUUGAAGCUGUUCCAAAAAAUAGAAAUGGAAAGGAAAACUUCCAAACUCAUUCUAUGAGGCCAGCAUUCUCUUAAUUCCAAAACCAAAGACCCCCCUAAAAAGGAGAAUUACAGACCAAUUUCCCUGAUGAAAAUGCAUGCAAAAAUUCUCAACAAGAUAGUAGCAAAUCAAAUUCAACAAUACAUUAAAAGAAUGGCUCACCACAAUCCAGUGGAAUUUAUUCUUGGGCUGCAGGGCUGGUUCAAUAUCUGCACAUCAACCAAUGUGAUAUAUCACAUUAAUGAAAAAAACUGGUAAGUACCAGAUGAUCCUCUCCAUAGAUUCAGAAAAAGCAUUUGACAAAUUAUAGCAUCCUUUUUUGAUGAAAGCCAUCAAAGUAGGGACAGAAGGAACAUACCUCGAGAUCAUAAAGGCCAUAGACAAAAGACCCACAGCUAAUAUCCUCAAUAGGGAAAAACUGAGAACUUUCCCUCUAAGGCCAGGAACAUGACAGGGAUGUCCACUCUCACCAUUGUUUUUCAGCAUAGUGUUGGAAAUCCUAGCCUUAGCUAUCAGGCAACAAAAAGAAAUAAAAGGCAUCCAGAUCAGGAAGGAAGAAGUCAAAACUUUCACUCUUCUAGAUGACAUGAUACUCUAUAUGGAGAACAUGAAAGACCCCCAUCAAAAGACUGCUAGAACUGAUACGUGAAUUCAGCAAAGUUGCAGGAUAUAAAAUCAAUGUACAGAGAUUGGUUGCAUUUCUAUACACCAAUAAUGAAAGCAGCAGAAAGAGAAAUCAAGGAAUCCAUCCCAGUUACAAUUGCACGAAAAACCAUGAGAUACCUAGGAAUGAACCUAACCAAAGAAGUACAGGAUCUUUAUGCUGAAAACUAUAGAAAGCUCAUGAAAGAAAUAGAAGA